GGCUUAACACAUGCAAGUCGAACGGGUGUCGCAAGACAUCAGUGGCAGACGGGUGAGUAACACGUGGGAACCUUCCUAGGGGUACGGAACAACUCAGGGAAACUUGAGCUAAUACCGUAUACGUCCGUAAGGAGAAAGAUUCAUCGCCCCUAGACGGGCCCGCGUCGGAUUAGCUAGUUGGUGGGGUAACGGCCUACCAAGGCGACGAUCCGUAGCUGAUCUGAGAGGAUGAUCAGCCACACUGGGACUGAGACACGGCCCAGACUCCUACGGGAGGCAGCAGUGGGGAAUCUUGGACAAUGGGCGCAAGCCUGAUCCAGCCAUGCCGCGUGAGUGAAGAAGGCCUUAGGGUUGUAAAGCUCUUUUACCAGGGACGAUAAUGACGGUACCUGGAGAAUAAGCCCCGGCAAACUUCGUGCCAGCAGCCGCGGUAAUACGAAGGGGGCUAGCGUUGUUCGGAAUUACUGGGCGUAAAGCGCGCGUAGGCGGGUCGUUAAGUCAGGGGUGAAAUCCCGAAGCUCAACUCCGGAACUGCCUUUGAUACUGGCGAUCUAGAGAUCGAGAGAGGUGAGUGGAAUUCCGAGUGUAGAGGUGAAAUUCGUAGAUAUUCGGAAGAACACCAGUGGCGAAGGCGGCUCACUGGCUCGAUACUGACGCUGAGGUGCGAAAGCG
rnacentral:rRNA from 1 species